UCCCGUGUUGCUCAGUUGGUAGAGCAUGGUGUUUGCAAUGCCAGGGUUGUGUGUUCGAUUCCCACGGGGG
rnacentral:tRNA from 1 species